CAGUAGCCGCGGGAAUGCGAAGGGGGCUAGCGUUGCUCGGAAUGACUGGGCGUAAAGGGCGCGUAGGCGGAUGGCACAGUCAGAUGUGAAAUUCCCGGGCUUAACCUGGGGGCUGCAUUUGAUACGUGUUGUCUAGAGUGAGGAAGAGGGUCGUGGAAUUCCCAGUGUAGAGGUGAAAUUCGUAGAUAUUGGGAAGAACACCGGUGGCGAAGGCGGCGACCUGGUCCUUGACUGACGCUGAGGCGCGAAAGCGUGGGGAACAAACAGGAUUAGAUACCCCAGUAGUCCCUGUCUCUUAUAC
rnacentral:rRNA from 1 species